UGAGGUUCUAACUCUGUCCCGUGAUCCGGGACGAGGACCGUGUCUGGUGGGUAGUUUGACUGGGGCGGUCUCCUCCUAAAGAGUAACGGAGGAGUACGAGGGUGCGCUCAGCGUGGUCGGAAAUCACGCGUAGAGUAUAAAGGCAAAGCGCGCUUAACUGCGAGACCCACAAGUCGAGCAGGUACGAAAGUAGGUCUUAGUGAGGUUCUAACUCUGUCCCGUGAUCCGGGACGAGGACCGUGUCUGGUGGGUAGUUUGACUGGGGCGGUCUCCUCCUAAAGAGUAACGGAGGAGUACGA
rnacentral:rRNA from 1 species